GUGUCAGCAGCCGCGGUAAUACGGAGGGAGCUAGCGUUGUUCGGAAUUACUGGGCGUAAAGCGCACGUAGGCGGACUGAUCAGUUGGGGGUGAAAGCCCAGGGCUCAACCCUGGAACUGCCUUCAAUACUGUCAGUCUUGAGUCCGAGAGAGGUGAGUGGAAUUUCCAGUGUAGAGGUGAAAUUCGUAGAUAUUGGAAAGAACACCAGUGGCGAAGGCGGCUCACUGGCUCGGUACUGACGCUGAGGUGCGAAAGUGUGGGGAGCAAGCAGGAUUAGAUACCCUGGUAGUCCACACCGUAAACGAUGGAUGCUAGUUGUCGGGCAGCAUGCUGUUCGGUGACGCAGCUAACGCAUUAAGCAUCCCGCCUGGGGAGUACGGUCGCAAGAUUAAAACUCAAAUGAAUUGACGGGG
rnacentral:rRNA from 1 species